UACGUAGGUGGCAAGCGUUGUCCGGAAUUAUUGGGCGUAAAGCGCGCGCAGGCGGUCCUUUAAGUCUGAUGUGAAAGCCCACGGCUCAACCGUGGAGGGUCAUUGGAAACUGGGGGACUUGAGUGCAGGAGAGAAGAGUGGAAUUCCACGUGUAGCGGUGAAAUGCGUAGAGAUGUGGAGGAACACCAGUGGCGAAGGCGACUCUUUGGCCUGUAACUGACGCUGCGGCGCGAAAGCGUGGGGAGCAAACAGG
rnacentral:rRNA from 1 species